rnacentral:rRNA from 1 species
UACGAGGGGGGCGAGCGUUGUUCGGAAUUAUUGGGCGUAAAGGGUGCGUAGGCGGUUCCGCAAGUCCUGUGUGAAAUCUUCGGGCUCAACUCGAAGUCUGCACGGGAAACUGCGGGGCUUGAGUGUGGGAGAGGUGAGUGGAAUUCCCGGUGUAGCGGUGAAAUGCGUAGAUAUCGGAAGGAACACCAGUGGCGAAGGCGGCUACCUGGCAUGAUACUGACACUGAGGCGCGAGAGCGUGGGGAGCAAACAGG